CGUCUAUUUGGAUAUUUGUGGCUGAGGGCGGUGGCGAUUCAGGCAGUAGUAGUCCAACGGUGACGGUUGGGUGGUGGAGGUCAGACAGUGGUUUAAUGGUGAAGUAUCAAAGCCCUAACACUGCGAGCAAGAUCUCAGUGAAGCUGCUGGCUUAGUUCCCUGUUCGUCGCUUUGCUGCAAUUUCUACUAGGGCCUCGGCCUACGGGGCGUAUGAAGCAAGGUUUCCUCCAGCCGUCCAGCCUCCGAUUCCUCCUGUUUCCAAGUUUAAGAUGGCUCUGUGUUAGCUGUCUGUGAUAGCGGACAAGGCGCGGAACAUCGCCCACACGCGAAGGGUGAUCGAGGCUGCUACUUUUAAGGCGUCUCAGUUUGUUCUCUUGCCCGUAAGUUUUCUCCAGUGAUGUCAAGACUUAACUUAAAAUGUGCUAUUCGAUGCUUACAUAGUCCCGCUUGUACCUGGUUGCUCUAACAUUGAGGAUUGCAUCUUUGUUCUUGCCAAUAGCAUCUUCUUAUUGGCCUCUUCUUAUCAAAUUUUAUCCAAUUUUUUUGUAUUCCUUUCGAAAUACUUGUUGUCUGUAUUUGACAGAUGAAGAUUGGAGUGAUGUAAGAUUUUUUCCCAUAUUGCUCUUCCUAUUUUUAA